AGUGAACGCUGGCGGCGUGCCUAAUACAUGCAAGUCGAACGGAGUGGCGCACGGGUGAGUAAUAUAUAGCUAAUCUGCCCCUUGCUGGAGGACAACAGUUAGAAAUGACUGCUAAUACUCCAUAGAGAGGGAUGAGACGAUAUCGUAUCAGCUCGUCGGUGGGGUAACGGCCUACCGAGGCUAUGACGCGUAACUGGUCUGAGAGGAUGAUCAGGCAAAGUGGAACCUAGACACGGUCCGAAGUCCUACGGGAGGCAGCAGAAGGGAAUAUUGCGCAAUGGGGGAAACCCGGACGCAGCAACGCCGCGUGGAGGAUGACACUUUUCGGAGCGUAAACUCAUUGUGUUAGGGGAGCGGUACCUAACGAAUAAGCACCGGCUAACUCCGUGCCAGCAGCCGCGGUAAUUC
rnacentral:rRNA from 1 species